ACAUAACUAGAGGCUCUAAAGAGCCUGUGUCGCUCACCUUGGUCUAUGUGAAUAUUAAACAAUGGAAACAGAUGGAUUCAUGACAAAAUUGUGUUUUGGUGAUGGUGAUGUGUUUGUAGAUCUUACUUUACUAAACAUUCUUGCUGCUUACAAUUAUCUCUAUUUAUAACAGUACUUUCUGUGGUAAAUGGUAUUGAAAAUCUUCAAAUUUUAAGAAAAUUGUUAAAAAUUGACUAUGAAGGGCAAUAACUCCUUAGGGGUCAAUUGACUAUUUUGGUCAUACUGACUUAUUUUUAGUUCUUACUUUGCUGUACAUUAUUGCUGUUUACAGUUUAUCUCUAUCUAUAAUAAUAUUCAAGAUAAUAACAAAAAAACAGCAAAAUUUCCUCAAAAUUACCAAUUCAGGGGCAGCAACCUAACAACCGAUUAUCUGAUUCAUCUGAAAAUUCCAGGGCAGAUAGAUCGUGACCUGAGCAACAAUUUUACUUCCUGUCAGAUUUGCUCUUAAUGCUUUGGUUUUUUAGUUAUAAGCCAAAAACUGCAUUUUACCCCCAUGUUCUAUUUUUAGCCAUGGCGGCCAUUUUGGUUUGUUGGCCGAGUUACCGGACACAUUUUUUUAACUAGAUACCCCAAUGAUGAUUAUGGCCAAGUUUGGUUAAAUUUGGCCCAUUAGUUUCAGAGGAGAAGAUUUUUCUAAAAGAUUACUAAGAUUUACGAAAAAUGGUUAAAAAUUGACUAUAAAGGGCAAUAACUCCUAAAGUGGUCAACUGACCAUUUUGGUCAUG
rnacentral:lncRNA from 1 species